rnacentral:rRNA from 1 species
AUGUUUAAUGAAAUAAUUUUAAAUAACGCCUGCCCACUGAUUUAAAGGGCCGCAGUAUCCUGACUGUGCAAAGGUAGCAUAAUCAUUUGUCUUUUAAUUGAAGGCUUGUAUGAAUGGCGAGACGGGGUAGUAUCUGUCCCAAAUUUAUUUUCUGAAUUUAAUUUAUAAGUCAAAAAGCUUAUAUUUAACCGCAGGACGAGAAGACCCCAUAGAACUUAAUAAGAUUAACAUAAAUUUAUUUAGUAAUUUAUUAGAAUAUGAUUUAAACUUAUUUGGUUGGGGUGACUUGAAUUAAAUUAACAUUUCAUUUUAAAACUUUUAUUAUAGGAUAAUUGACCCUAAAGAUGAUUAAAAAAUGAAGUUACCUUGGGGAUAACAGCGUAAUCUAAUCUAAGAGUUCUUAUCAAAAAUUAGGAUUGCGACCUCGAUGUUGGAUUAAGAAUCUACUUAGGUGUAGCAGCCUGUAGUAGGGGUCUGUUCGACCUUUAAAUCUUACU